rnacentral:rRNA from 1 species
AUUGAACGCUGGCGGCAUGCUUUACACAUGCGAGUCGAACGGUAACAGGCCUUCGGGUGCUGACGAGUGGCGAACGGGUGAGUAAUGCAUCGGAACGUACCCAGAGGUGGGGGAUAACGCAGCGAAAGCUGUGCUAAUACCGCAUGUGAUCUGAGGAUGAAAGCGGGGGACCGAGCAGCAAUGUUUGGCCUCGCGCCUUUGGAGCGGCCGAUGUCGGAUUAGCUAGUUGGUGGGGUAAAGGCCUACCAAGGCGACGAUCCGUAGCUGGUCUGAGAGGACGAACAGCCACACUGGGACUGAGACACGGCCCAGACUCCUACGGGAGGCAGCAGUGGGGAAUUUUGGACAAUGGGCGCAAGCCUGAUCCAGCAAUGCCGCGUGCGGGAAGAAGGCCUUCGGGUUGUAAACCGCUUUUGGCAGGAACGAAACGGUGUCCGCUAAUACCGGGCGCUAAUGACGGUACCUGCAGAAUAAGCACCGGCUAACUACGUG